rnacentral:rRNA from 1 species
GAUCCUGGCUCAGGAUGAACGCUGGCGGCGUGCUUAACACAUGCAAGUCGAACGAAGCGCUUAAGAUUGAUUCUUCGGAUGAAGUCUUUUGCUACUGAGUGGCGGACGGGUGAGUAACGCGUGGGUAACCUGCCUCAUACAGGGGGAUAACAGUUAGUAAAUGACUGCUAAUACCGCAUAAGCGCACAGGGUCGCAUGACCUGGUGUGAAAAACUCCGGUGGUAUGAGAUGGACCCGCG